rnacentral:misc_RNA from 1 species
GAGGACUACACGGGUUUCUAAUCCUGUUCGAUACCCACGCUUUCGUGCCUCAGCGUCAGACAGAAGCUGGCAGGCUGCCUUCGCAAUCGGAGUUCUGCGCGAUAUCUAUGCAUUUCACCGCUACACCGCGCAUUCCGCCUGCUUCUCUUCCUCUCUAGUCCGACAGUUUCAACGGCUAAACGGGGUUGAGCCCCGAAGUUUUACCGCUGACUUUCCGGACCGCCUACGCACCCUUCAAACCCAAUAAAUCCGGAUAACGCUCGCAUCCUCCGUAUUACCGCGGCGGCUGGCAC